AAUCCUAUGGCUUAGAUGGCAAAGCGACUGCCUAGUAAGCAGGAGAUCACGAGUUCGAGUCUCGAUGGGACCU
rfam:Daphnia pulex DAPPTscaffold_5659_Cont16695, whole genome shotgun sequence.